CCUACGGGAGGCAGCAGUGAGGAAUAUUGGUCAAUGGGCGCGAGCCUGAACCAGCCAAGUAGCGUGAAGGAUGACUGCCCUACGGGUUGUAAACUUCUUUUAUCAGGGAAUAAAGUGAGGUACGUAUGCCGUUUUGCAUGUACCUUAUGAAUAAGCAUCGGCUAACUCCGUGCCAGCAGCCGCGGUAAUACGGAGGAUCCGGGCGUUAUCCGGGUUUAUUGGGUUUAAAGGGUGCGUAGGCGGGUUGUUAAGUCAGUUGUGAAAGUUUGCGGCUCAACCGUAACAGUGCAGUUGAUACUGGCAGCCUUGAGUACAGUAGAGGUAGGCGGAAUUCGUGGUGUAGCGGUGAAAUGCUUAGAUAUCACGAAGAACUCCGAUUGCGAAGGCAGCCUACUGGACUGUCACUGACGCUGAGGCUCGAAAGUGUGGGUAUCAAACAGGAUUAGAUACCCCUGUAGUC
rnacentral:rRNA from 1 species